rnacentral:rRNA from 1 species
CCUACGGGUGGCAGCAGUAAGGAAUAUUGGUCAAUGGGCUUACGCCUGAACCAGCCAAGUCGCGUGAGUGAAGACUGCCCUAUGGGUUGUAAACCUCUUUUGUCAGGGAGCAACGCCGGCUACGUGUAGCCUGCCUGAUGGUACCUGAAGAAAAAGCAUCGGCUAACUCCGUGCCAGCAGCCGCGGUAAUACGGAGGGUGCGAGCGUUAUCCGGAUUUAUUGGGUUUAAAGGGUGCGUAGGCGGAAUGCCAAGUCAGCGGUAAAAGCGCGGGGCUCAACCUCGCUCCGCCGUUGAAACUGGCGUUCUUGAGUGGGCGAGAAGUAUGUGGAAUGCGUGGUGUAGCGGUGAAAUGCAUAGAUAUAACGCAGAACUCCGAUUGCGAAGGCAGCAUACCGGCGCGUGACUGACGCUGAGGCACGAAAGCGUGGGGAGCGAACAGGAUUAGAUACCCUUGUAGUC